rnacentral:rRNA from 1 species
AGGGUUCGAUCAUGGCUCAGAACGUACGCUGGCGGCAGGCUUAACACAUGCAAGUCGAACGAGAAGCUUCUUCGGAAGUGGACAGUGGCAGACGGGCGAGUAACGCGUGGGAAUCUACCUAGAGGUUCGGGACAACCAUUGGAAACGAUGGCUAAUACCGGAUAAGCCCGCAAGGGGAAAGAUUUAUCGCCUUUGGAUGAGCCCGCGUAAGAUUAGCUAGUUGGUGGGGUAAAGGCCUACCAAGGCUACGAUCUUUAGCUGGUCUGAGAGGAUGAUCAGCCACAUUGGGACUGAGACACGGCCCAGACUCCUACGGGAGGCAGCAGUGGGGAAUAUUGCGCAAUGGGGGAAACCCUGACGCAGCCAUGCCGCGUGAGUGACGAAGGCCUUAGGGUUGUAAAGCUCUUUCGCUAGGGAAGAUAAUGACGGUACCUAGUAAAGAAGCCCCGGCUAACUCCGUGCCAGCCGCCGCGGUAAUUC